rnacentral:rRNA from 1 species
UACGGAGGGGGCUAGCGUUGUUCGGAAUUACUGGGCGUAAAGCGCACGUAGGCGGCUUUGUAAGUUAGAGGUGAAAGCCCGGAGCUCAACUCCGGAAUUGCCUUUAAGACUGCAUCGCUAGAACGUCGGAGAGGUGAGUGGAAUUCCGAGUGUAGAGGUGAAAUUCGUAGAUAUUCGGAGGAACACCAGUGGCGAAGGCGGCUCACUAAGCUAUGAUUGACGCUGAGGCUCGAAAGCGUGGGGAUCAAACAGG